UACGUAGGGGGCGAGCGUUGUCCGGAGUUACUGGGCGUAAAGCGCACGCAGGCGGUCCGUUAAGUUUGGAGUGACAGUUGGUGGCUCAACCACCAAAGUGCUUUGAAAACUGGCAGACUUGAGGGCUUCAGAGGGACACGGAAUUCCGGGUGGAGUGGUGAAAUGCGUAGAUAUCUGGAGGAACACCGGUGGCGAAGGCGGCAUCCUGGACCGAGAUUGACGCUGAGGCGCGAAAGCCAGGGGAGCAAACGGG
rnacentral:rRNA from 1 species